AAUGAACGCUGGCGGCAGGCCUAACACAUGCAAGUCGAGCGAGCGGCGGACGGGUGAGUAAAGUAUGGGGAUCCGACCGAUAGAGGGGGAUAACUACCGGAAACGGUGGCUAAUACCGCAUACUGUCGGCUGAUACAAUAUGGGAUUAGCUAGUAGGUAAGGGAAUGGAGUACCUAGGCGACGAUCCCUAGCUGGUAGGAGAGGAGGAUCAGCCACACUGGGACUGAGACACGGCCCAGACUCCUACGGGAGGCAGCAGUGGGGAAUAUUGCGCAAUGGGCGCAAGCCUGAUGCAGCCAUGCCGCGUGUAUGAAGAAGGCCUUCGGGUUGUAAAGCACUUUUGGCAGGAAAGCGGUACCUGCAGAAUAAGCCCCGGCUAACUACGUGCCAGCAGCCGCGGUAAUUC
rnacentral:rRNA from 1 species